rnacentral:rRNA from 3 species
UAAGUCUCCUGAAGGAACGUUGAAGACGACGACGUUGAUAGGUCGGGUGUGUAAGCGCAGCGAUGCGUUGAGCUAACCGAUACUAAUGAACCGUGAGGCUUAACCUU